rnacentral:rRNA from 1 species
GAUGAACGCUGGCGGCGUGCCUAAUACAUGCAAGUCGAGCGAACAGAUCAGGAGCUUGCUCCUUUGACGUUAGCGGCGGACGGGUGAGUAACACGUGGGUACCCUACCUAUAAGACUGGAAUAACCCCGGGAAACCGGGGCUAAUGCCGGAUAACAUUUAGAACCGCAUGGUUCUAAAGUGAAAGAUGGUUUUGCUAUCUCUUAUCGAUGGACCCGCGCCGUAUUAGCUAGUUGGUAAGGUAACGGCUUACCACGGCAACGAUACGUAGCCGACCUGAGAGGGGGAUCGGCCACACUGGAACUUAGACCCGGUCAAGACUCCUACGGGAGGCAGCAGUAGGGAAUCUGCCGCAAUGGGCGAAAGCCUGACGGAGCAACGCCGCGUGAGUGAUGAAGGUCUUCGGAUCGUAAAACUCUGUUAUUAGGGAAGAACAAAUGUGUAAGUAACUGUGCACGUCUUGACGGUACCUAAUCAGAAAGCCACGGCUAACUACGUG